rnacentral:rRNA from 1 species
UACGGGGGGGGCAAGCGUUGUUCGGAAUUACUGGGCGUAAAGGGCUCGUAGGUGGCCAACUAAGUCAGACGUGAAAUCCCUCGGCUUAACCGAGGAACUGCGUCUGAUACUGGAUGGCUUGAGUUUGGGAGAGGAAUGCGGAAUUCCAGGUGUAGCGGUGAAAUGCGUAGAUAUCUGGAGGAACACCGGUGGCGAAGGCGGCAUCCUGGACCAAUUCUGACGCUGAGGAGCGAAAGCCAGGGGAGCAAACGGG